GAGUUUGAUCUUGGCUCAGGAUGAACGCUGGCGGCGUGCUUAACACAUGCAAGUCGAACGGAAAGGCCCUUCGGGGUACUCGAGUGGCGAACGGGUGAGUAACACGUGGGUGAUCUGCCCUGCACUUUGGGAUAAGCCUGGGAAACUGGGUCUAAUACCGAAUAUGAUCAUCAGCUUCAUGGUUGGUGGUGGAAAGCUUUUGCGGUGUGGGAUGGGCCCGCGGCCUAUCAGCUUGUUGGUGGGGUAAUGGCCUACCAAGGCGACGACGGGUAGCCGGCCUGAGAGGGUGACCGGCCACACUGGGACUGAGAUACGGCCCAGACUCCUACGGGAGGCAGCAGUGGGGAAUAUUGCACAAUGGGCGCAAGCCUGAUGCAGCGACGCCGCGUGAGGGAUGACGGCCU
rnacentral:rRNA from 1 species